AUUGAACGCUGGCGGCAUGCCUUACACAUGCAAGUCGAACGGCAGCACGGGUGCUUGCACCUGGUGGCGAGUGGCGAACGGGUGAGUAAUACAUCGGAACAUGUCCUGUAGUGGGGGAUAGCCCGGCGAAAGCCGGAUUAAUACCGCAUACGAUCUACGGAUGAAAGCGGGGGACCUUCGGGCCUCGCGCUAUAGGGUUGGCCGAUGGCUGAUUAGCUAGUUGGUGGGGUAAAGGCCUACCAAGGCGACGAUCAGUAGCUGGUCUGAGAGGACGACCAGCCACACUGGGACUGAGACACGGCCCAGACGCCUACGGGAGGCAGCAGUGGGGAAUUUUGGACAAUGGGCGAAAGCCUGAUCCAGCAAUGCCGCGUGUGUGAAGAAGGCCUUCGGGUUGUAAAGCACUUUUGUCCGGAAAGAAAUCCUUGGCCCUAAUACGGGCGGGGGAUGACGGUACCGGAAGAAUAAGCACCGGCGAACUACGU
rnacentral:rRNA from 1 species